rnacentral:rRNA from 1 species
GGGGAAUAUUGGACAAUGGGCGCAAGCCUGAUCCAGCCAUGCCGCGUGAGUGAUGAAGGCCCUAGGGUUGUAAAGCUCUUUCAACGGUGAAGAUAAUGACGGUAACCGUAGAAGAAGCCCCGGCUAACUUCGUGCCAGCAGCCGCGGUAAUACGAAGGGGGCUAGCGUUGUUCGGAAUUACUGGGCGUAAAGCGCACGUAGGCGGAUUGGUCAGUUAGGGGUGAAAUCCCAGGGCUCAACCCUGGAACUGCCUUUAAUACUGCUAGUCUAGAGUUCGAGAGAGGUGAGUGGAAUUCCGAGUGUAGAGGUGAAAUUCGUAGAUAUUCGGAGGAACACCAGUGGCGAAGGCGGCUCACUGGCUCGAUACUGACGCUGAGGUGCGAAAGCGUGGGGAGCAAAC